rnacentral:rRNA from 1 species
AGAACGAAUGCUGGCGGCAUGCCUAAUACAUGCAAGUCGAACGAACACUUCGGUGUUAGUGGCGUACGGGUGCGUAACGCGUGGGAAUCUGCCCUUGGGUUCGGAAUAACAGUUGGAAACGACUGCUAAUACCGGAUGAUAUCGAAAGAUCAAAGAUUUAUCGCCCAGGGAUGAGCCCGCGUAGGAUUAGCUAGUUGGUGAGGUAAAGGCUCACCAAGGCGACGAUCCUUAGCUGGUCUGAGAGGAUGAUCAGCCACUACUGGGACUGAGACACGGCCCUAGACUCCUACGGGAGCAGCAGUAGGGAAUACUUGGACAAUGGGACGCAAGCCUGAUCCAAGCAAUUGCCGCGUGAGUGAUGAAGGCCGUUAGGGUUGUAAAGUCGUCUUUUACCCGAGAUUGAAUAA